UGAGGAAUAUUGCUCAAUGGCCGCAAGGCUGAAGCAGCAACGCCGCGUGAGGGAUGAAGGAUCUAUGGUCUGUAAACCUCUGUAGAGAAGGAAAAAUAACCCAUUAUAUGGGCUUGAUAGUACUUCUAGAGUAAGCCCCGGCUAACUACGUGCCAGCAGCCGCGGUAAUACGUAGGGGGCGAGCGUUGUCCGGAAUCACUGGGUGUAAAGGGUGCGCAGGCGGGGCUAUAAGUCAGUGGUGAAAGCCUACAGCUUAACUGUAGAACUGCCAUUGAUACUGUAGUCCUUGAGUGCAGCUGAAGAGGGCGGAAUGUGUUGUGUAGCGGUGAAAUGCUUAGAUAUAACACAGAACACCGAUUGCGAAGGCAGCUCUCUAAACUGCAACUGACGCUCAGGCACGAAAGCGUGGGGAUCAAACA
rnacentral:rRNA from 1 species